rnacentral:ncRNA from 1 species
CUCUUAUUCAGAGUGAUGGAGAUACAAAGGAUCUGUGAAGUCACGGCAACCCCGUUCUUGACAUACGGCAAGUAUAUAUAAGACAGGAAGGUGCCAACCUGAGCGAAAUAAUUCGAACAAUAAGAG